rnacentral:lncRNA from 1 species
UAAAAGUAGGAGGUUAAUUAUAAACAUUAAUUAUUCCAAUCUUAGUAGCUAUAGCCUUCCUUACCUUAAUUGAACGAAAAAUACUAGGAUACAUACAACUUCGCAAACUAUCUCAUACGAAGUAACGCUAGCAAUUAUCCUUCUCUCAGUUCUUCUAAUAAAUGACCCUAUCUACACUUAUCAUUACCCAACAAUUCACAUGACUUCUCUUUCCCACUUAUCAUUACCCAACAAUUCACAUGACUUCUAUUUCCAACAUGACCUCUCGCAAUAAUAUGAUUUAUUUCAACAUUAGCAGAAACCAACCG